GAUACAAAGCGAUUGAACCAAGCAGGGAGGAAAUAAAUUGGUUGGUUCCCACUUUUCUCAGUGAAGCAUGUAAAUGUGAUGAAAUGGGACAUAGAGUGGAAAGAGCCUCAGGUUUGUUAUGAGACAGGAGCAUGCUAAAAAGGGAAUCAAAUCUUUUUGGUUAAAAUGAAAUCCUCCUAGCAUUUUUCUCUACCGCAUAAGCCUUGUGUUACUGUCCCACCCAUGUUUAUUAUCCGAGAGGACAUCCAUUUUAAAAAUGAUUUAUUAAGAGAUUCAGGUGUGCACUGUGCACAUUCUAUGAUGGUGCAUGUGUGGUACAGAGAUCUCAUGAUGCAAGCAAGAAGACCACACGGGGUGCUCAGCAAACAGUUUCUUGAGCUGUGUUUUUUUUGAACACGAGGAACGCCAGGCCAGGG